UACGAAGGGGGCGAGCGUUGUUCGGAAUUACUGGGCGUAAAGGGCUCGUAGGCGGCCAACUAAGUCGGACGUGAAAUCCCCAGGCUCAACCUGGGAACUGCGUCCGAUACUGGAUGGCUUGAAUUCGGGAGAGGGAUGCAGAAUUCCAGGUGUAGCGGUGAAAUGCGUAGAUAUCUGGAGGAGUACCGGUGGCGAAGGCGGCAUCCUGGACCGACAUUGACGCUGAGGAGCGAAAGCUAGGGGAGCAAACGGG
rnacentral:rRNA from 1 species